rnacentral:tmRNA from 1 species
GCUAUUGCUCUUAACUAUAAAAUAUGCUAAAGUGAAAACGCCAUUUGGCUAUAACGAUAAACACUGUGGGAAGUAAACGUUGCGGACCCGGGGGCAGAGCCCGGCGCCUCCACCUAAAGAGAUUUUUUCUUUUUGCAUGGGGGCGAAUUAGGAUCGACGUGCGUUAAAACGUAUAGUUUUCGUUCAUCAUGGUACCGAUGUUUUGGGCCGUCAAUAUAAAUGCGAAUUUUGAUAACGCAUUUGGCAAAAUUUCUGUAAAGAAUGCCGCAAACGGUAGACUUUCAGAUAGUGUACGGCAUGCUGUAGCAGCUUAAGGCGCUCCGGUAAGUAAACACUGAGCCAGCGGUUUUGGGAGCACCGAGCAACAGAAAGCUCCCAAA